UUACUUUAUUUAGUCAAAAAAUGCAAUUUUACUAGAAUGUAAGCUUUAGAAAACUAAAACCCAGCUGGGCAACACAUAAGCAGUUAACCCGUUAACCGAUGAAGCUAGCCAGCUAGGCAAUCGAGUUUAAAAGGAAUAUGCAAGUUUUGCUGAAGACACUUGCAGCGGAAACGAAGAUGGACGCCGAAUCAGCGUGAUCAGACAGAAAGCUUAUAUUUGCGGAUACUUAGCGAAAAUGACUGUCGGGUACAGCACUAUUACACGUGGUGACUGAAGUCUGGUCAGUCGGCAGGCAGCAGUACUCAAUUUACCGCAUUCCUACAAUCCAACUGAAAUUACGGGUAUUCAGAAUCGGCCUUCAAACAGUUGAUGAAGCCCGCCCUGGUAGCUG